CAGAAAAUAGUUUAAUAAAAUAUUAAUUUUGGAGAUUAAAGAUAAAGAAUUCUUUUUUUCUGA
rnacentral:tRNA from 1 species